rnacentral:rRNA from 1 species
ACUCCUACGGGAGGCAGCAGUGGGGAAUCUUAGACAAUGGGCGCAAGCCUGAUCUAGCCAUGCCGCGUGAGUGAUGAAGGCCCUAGGGUCGUAAAGCUCUUUCGCCUGUGAUGAUAAUGACAGUAGCAGGUAAAGAAACCCCGGCUAACUCCGUGCCAGCAGCCGCGGUAAUACGGAGGGGGUUAGGCGUUGUUCGGAAUUUACUGGGCGUAAAGCGCACGUAGGCGGAUCAGAAAGUUGGGGGUGAAAUCCCGGGGCUC